rnacentral:rRNA from 1 species
AUACGUAGGGUGCAAGCGUUAAUCGGAAUUACUGGGCGUAAAGCGUGCGCAGGCGGUUUUUUAAGUCGGUGGUGAAAUCCCCGGGCUCAACCUGGGAACUGCCAUUGAGACUGCAAGGCUGGAGUGCGGCAGAGGGGGGUGGAAUUCCGGGUGUAGCAGUGAAAUGCGUAGAUAUGCGGAGGAACACCGAUGGCGAAGGCAAUCCCCUGGGACUGCACUGACGCUCAUGCACGAAAGCGUGGGGAGCAAACAGGAUUAGAUACCCUGGUAGUCCACGCCCUAAACGAUGUCAACUGGUUGUUGGGGAUUUAUUUUCUCAGUAACGAAGCUAACGCGUGAAGUUGACCGCCUGGGGAGUACGGCCGCAAGGUUAAAACUCAAAUGAAUUGACGGGG